UUACGUCCAAUCUGCUACACUUAAAAAUCUAGACUAUAGAAAAUUUCAAUCGCAUAUUGUUGCCUUAACCCAUCUAUUUAUAAUAUUUAUUUUUUUAUUAGAUUUAAAUAAUUUAAAAUUGGAAUCGAAAUCACCGAUUUUAAUUUUGUUUAAAAUAAAAAUCAGAACCGAACCGAACCGAUUCCGAUUUGGUUUGAAAUAGACGAACCGGACCGGUUCCCGGACCGAACCGUGAUCACUUUGUGUAAACGUGGCGGGGGAGUAUGACCUAAUUGCGUCAGAUUCAGCAGAGUAUACAGAAGACCGGUUUGGAAGAAAGUGUUGCUGGUGGGACUCCUGUGGCCUGUCGUGUUCUCAAGCAAUGGCAAAACAGCAGCAGAGUUGGUGGGAUGUCGAAGGGCUCCUCUGGAAAUGGGGACUACAAGUAGCUGUAUUCCUGAGGUAUUAUUAUUACUUGGAAGGAGACAAUCGACAAGCUCAGUGCAGGAUUUGGAUCGCUGAGUGGAGGAUCAUGCAGAUCGGUGAUGAUAAAGUCUCUGUUUCUCAUCUCCAGUUAGAGAGAAGGCUGUAACUCUCGAAGAUUUGAAGCCGAUGGUCCCAACAAAUGAUGCUUAAUGCAGCAGACAAUACCAUCGGCAUCAAUAAUCUCAACAAGAAGAAAGAAGGUUUUCAGGCAUUGGAAUUAAUUUACCGGUGCAUGGGAGAAGGAACAAGAAGAAUCAAUUAAAGGAAGAGAGAGGCACACGAUCUGCUGUGGGACACAGAGAUCAUUUGUCGAGGCGAUGAUGAUAUUGCUGAUUGCUUUUUUACGAAAAAGAAGAGCUAAUGACAAACAUCCACGCAAGCAGUGAGAGGGAAAUGACAUCUUUAGAUAGAGGGAUUAAAGGGGCCAAAUUUGAAGGACGAUUGCUGGGCCAGCAUGAGGUUUAAUCUAAUGCGUUGCAUCGAUCUGCUUUGGUAUCUUAAUCGAGAAGCAGCUUCCCAACUCUUUCGUCUUUAAAGCCGCCAUGCUUCGUUUUGUUCAUCAGAAUUGAUGAAGAGAUCCAUUUUUAUACACAUUAUCUGAAAGUUAUGAUUCUUCUGCUGCAUCUCCUGCAUGGCUGCUGCUGGUUCUGCGGUGCCGUCGCCGUCGCCGCCGCCGCCGCCAUUUCCACAUUCCACCAUGUGCUGCCAAUGGAAAGAGGAGGAUUAGCCUGACAUAUCAUGGUGGCAAUAGUUGCUGUAAGUUGCCAGAUACAAAUGAAGCCACAAGUUAGAAUGAUCAUCCAUGAAGGAAGAACAAAAUCCACCCAGAUUUUGACUUGAGAAAUGGACGAUGAUGCUUGAUCUCAUCAGUGAAGCUGUAAUUGUUAGUACCAGAAGAAGAGAAGUGAAAGUGAAAUAAAUGAAAGAGUCAGCAUCAAGAAGCUUUAUUUCAAUA